GAUGAAGAACGUAGCGAACUGCGAUAAGUAAUGUGAAUUGCAGAAUUCAGUGAAUCAUCGAAUCUUUGAACGCACAUUGCGCCCCCUGGUAUUCCGGGGGGCAUGCCUGUCCGAGCGUCAUUGCUGCCCUCAAGCACGGCUUGUGUGUUGGGCCUCCGUCCUCCUCCCGGGGGACGGGCCCGAAAGGCAGCGGCGGCACCGCGUCCGGUCCUCGAGCGUAUGGGGCUUCGUCACCCGCUCUUGUAGGCCCGGCCGGCGCUUGCCGACACAUCAAUCUUUUUUCCAGGUUGACCUCGGAUCAGGUAGGGAUACCCGCUGAACUUAAGCAUAUCAAUAAGCGGAGGA
rnacentral:misc_RNA from 1 species